CCCGGGGGGGGGCCUAUACAUGCAAGUCGAGCGGGACAGAUGGGAGCUUGCUCCCUGAUGUUAGCGGCGGGACGGGUGAGUAACACGUGGGUAACCUGCCUGUAAGACUGGGAUAACUCCGGGAAACCGGGGCUAAUACCGGAUGCUUGUUUGAACCGCAUGGUUCAAAUAUAAAAGGUGGCUUCGGCUACCACUUACAGAUGGACCCGCGGCGCAUUAGCUAGUUGGUGAGGUAACGGCUCACCAAGGCAACGAUGCGUAGCCGACCUGAGAGGGUGAUCGGCCACACUGGGACUGAGACACGGCCCAGACUCCUACGGGAGGCAGCAGUAGGGAAUCUUCCGCAAUGGACGAAAGUCUGACGGAGCAACGCCGCGUGAGUGAUGAAGGUUUUCGGAUCGUAAAGCUCUGUUGUUAGGGAAGAACAAGUACCGUUCGAAUAGGGCGGUACCUUGACGGUACCUAACCAGAAAGCCACGGCUAACUACGUGCCAGCAGCCGCGGUAAUACGUAGGUGGCAAGCGUUGUCCGGAAUUAUUGGGCGUAAAGGGCUCGCAGGCGGUUUCUUAAGUCUGAUGUGAAAGCCCCCGGCUCAACCGGGGAGGGUCAUUGGAAACUGGGGAACUUGAGUGCAGAAGAGGAGAGUGGAAUUCCACGUGUAGCGGUGAAAUGCGUAGAGAUGUGGAGGAACACCAGUGGCGAAGGCGACUCUCUGGUCUGUAACUGACGCUGAGGAGCGAAAGCGUGGGGAGCGAACAGGAUUAGAUACCCUGGUAGUCCACGCCGUAAACGAUGAGUGCUAAGUGUUAGGGGGUUUCCGCCCCUUAGUGCUGCAGCUAACGCAUUAAGCACUCCGCCUGCGGAGUACGGUCGCAAGACUGAAACUCAAAGGAAUUGACGGGGGCCCGCACAACCGGUGGAGCAUGUGGUUUAAUUCAAAGCAGCGCGAAGACCUUACCAGGGCUUGACGUCCUCUGACAAUCCUAGAGAUAGGACGUCCCCUUCCGGGGGGGAAUGACAGAUGUGGAUGGUUGUCGUCACCUCCGUCCGGAAAUGUUGGGUUAAGUCCCCCACCGAACCCACCCUUGAUUUUAUUUCCAGAAUUCAUUUGGGGUGCUAAAAUUCCUUGGGGGGGCACCCCGAAGGAAAGGGGGGAGGGGGUCAACUCUUUUUGCCCCUUUCUCCCCUUUUUUACCCCCU
rnacentral:rRNA from 1 species